rnacentral:rRNA from 1 species
CUUGGUCAUUUAGAGGAAGUAAAAGUCGUAACAAGGUCUCCGUUGGUGAACCAGCGGAGGGAUCAUUACUGAGUUAUCAAAAACUCCAACCCUUUGUGAACCUACCUAUGUUUCCUCCGGCGUACCGCUUUAGCCUACCCACAGGGCUCCCCUAAGGGGGGGUUCUGCUGGGGAGGUGCCUGAGUGCUACCCAUCCUUCGGGGUACGGUUAGUGCAGUGAAGGUGCUGACCAAGGCCUCGGCGGCGCCGAGUAGGACCGCUCCAAACUUAAGCACCUAGUGCAUCCAACCCCGCGUUGAACAACUAUCGAAAAUCUGCUUUUGCUUUUUUUCUUUACGCUAAAACGUCUUUCCUGGUUGGAAUUAUUGCUCGAAAUAAUAAUUUCCUUACCCUGCAGUCGUUUGUUUUCAAGCUACAAUAUCUGCUCGAAAAUUGUUCAAAGCUCUGAGGGGUCUGAAUGAAUUCAUAAAAUUGGCAAAAGCCACCUAUAAACUACGGUUCUUAGGGGGUGAUCAAACCAAGGUUUUAAAAACCAAAUACGUUAAAACUUUCAACAACGGAUCUCUUGGUUCUGGCAUCGAUGAAGAACGCAGCGAAAUGCGAUAAGUAAUGUGAAUUGCAGAAUUCAGUGAAUCAUCGAAUCUUUGAACGCACAUUGCGCCCAUUAGUAUUCUAGUGGGCAUGCCUAUUCGAGCGUCAUUACAACCCUUAAGCCUUGUAGCUUAGCGUUGGGAAUCUACCCCUCACUGAGGGGUAGUUCCUUAAAUUUAGUGGCGGGGUUAUAGCACACUCUAAGCGUAGUAGUUUAACUCGCUUUCAGGGAGGCUGUAGCUGCUUGCCGUAAAACCCCCUAUAACUUAUAGUGGUUGACCUCGGAUUAGGUAGGAAUACCCGCUGAACUUAGC